rnacentral:rRNA from 1 species
GUGGGGAAUAUUGCACAAUGGGCGCAAGCCUGAUGCAGCAACGCCGCGUGAGGGACGACGGCCUUCGGGUUGUAAACCUCUUUUGGCAGGGGAGAAGCGAAAGUGACGGUACCUGCAGAAAAAGCACCGGCUAACUACGUGCCAGCAGCCGCGGUGAUACGUAGGGUGCAAGCGUUGUCCGGAAUUAUUGGGCGUAAAGAGCUCGUAGGCGGUUUGUCGCGUCUGCUGUGAAAACCCGAGGCUCAACCUCGGGCCUGCAGUGGGUACGGGCAAACUAGAGUGCGGUAGGGGAGAUUGGGAUUCCUGGUGUAGCGGUGGAAUGCGCAGAUAUCAGGAGGAACACCGAUGGCGAAGGCAGAUCUCUGGGCCGUAACUGACGCUGAGGAGCGAAAGCAUGGGGAGCGAACA